GUGAAGGAAAGACGACACCCAAGACAGCCUCUAAAGAACAGCACUUGUUCCCUGGAAUUGCUUUUGCUUCUGAUAUUAAUGGUCGGCCUCCCCCUAACAUGAGACCUGUACAACAAGAUCAUGUUCCCAUGACAGCCAUGCCCAACCGCCCAUAUAGCAUAUCUAGUGGGAUGCGUGAUCCUCAAAUGGGAGGUCCUGCUCGGCCCUAUAAUCCAUCCAGUGGUGUGCAUUCAUCUGUUGACAGCAUGACUGAUGGACGACCCCGUGAGCCAAACAGCAUGUACACUGGCAUGCGUGACCCUAUGGGAGGUCCUGUGCAGCCUUACAG